AUGUUCUACUACUUCAUAGUUGUCUUGAGCUAUGACCACACCAACAACGCUACUAGAGCUAGAUAUUCUAAAGGAGACCAGCAUUAUGCGGCUUACCCAGCCGGAACCGAGCUAUUGGGUGAUUCUGAUAAGUUGUACAAAGCUGCUCUUGGCAAUUACUUCGAAGCGGAAGAGUGGGGUCCCCUUGAGUUCCGCAUCAUGUCCAAGCACUUCGAGCGCCAAGGAAAAGCGUCAUAUGCAUAUCAUGCUGUAAAAUGACAUAAGUCUAGAUUGCUGCGGCAAUAUGUCGCACACCUUCUCUCCCUUGGACAACUAAAUGGAUCUGGAUAG